GAUUUUUGUGACCACGCCCCCGAGGCGGAAUUUCACCUGGCGAAUUCCACCUGGUCAUAUGCUGUGUGUGAACGAACAGUGAGCACGUUUAGCGUGAGCAGCUAACCAAAAGCCUGCUAGCUAACGCUGCAACCGGAGCAAACCAAUACAAAGCACGAAAUCGCGGAUACAUGCAACAGAACGAGCGAUCAUAUCCUCCUAAACUGCAGUGUAACACGCCAUCAAGACGACAUCUCAGCUACGACUUCCUUCAUCUACGGACACUCUCCAAAAGACUUGGGCAUUUAGCUUUCCUUGCUAUUCACAACCUGGUCAUGGGGAUGGUGUGGUGUAAAGCAUUAGCACCAUGGUCCCAGAACAGUGGAAACGGUCACGAGGCCCCUCCAUCCUGCACGUCCUGCAGCAUGGGUGUGUGUGUGGACCGCUGCUGUGACAUCUGCUGCCAGGGCUGUGUGGGCUGCUUUGGUUGCCUGUGCCCCCGUGACUGUCUCUACACAUUCUGUGCCAUGAUUGCCCGCCUUGCCCACUACUGUUCUGUCGGUCAGAAACCAGAGCCGGCCUAUGCCAUGCCUGGAUCACAGAAAUGCUUCAGUGUGGGAGAAGAGGUGUAGAUGCCACUUUGGCCAAGUUGACGGAGACACAGCGGAGACAGAUGGCCCCAAUGGCAGUCCUCCUCACCCAAAUGUUCCAUCAUCUUUCACCUCUGUCUGUAUUGAUUGGGUCACCAUUUGCUUUUGAGUAGAUUGUUAAGCAUUCUGUGCUUAUUAUUUUGUGAUUGUAUUUUUUUUUAUCAUGUAUACCCAUACUAGCAAUGUUUCUGUGCUCGAUAACAAAAGUUAACAAAUGAUGGCAAUUUCAAUAAAGGCGCUGCCACGCAAAUUCA
rnacentral:lncRNA from 1 species